AAAGUUCUUCAAGCUUAGGAGGACCUGGUUUGUUCCAUAAGGAAGACUACCUCAGAGGAUUACGAGUCUCGCCACCUCCACCAUUAUGAAGGGCUCAUGAAAGCUCUCAUUUUGUCUAGGUACAAGUAAAACUUGAUAUUUGACCUUUUUUAAAUUCCGUCAUUGUAGAAAAAUCACUUGAAAGUUCACCGUUGAGAGGAUUACCACUUUGAAAUAUUUUAUCUUCACAUAGUUUUGCUCAGGCUAUAGGAACCAUAGGUGUUACUGCAUUGUCAAAAAGAAGACAUAAAUAUGGUGGAAUCAAUUUUGGAUUCAGCAAAGGAGAAAUAUGCAAAAAAAGGACAUGUCCACAAACCCGAGAUUGUUAAUGAUCAUGAUUCUCAUGUUCUUUCUCGAUGUGUAGCAAAGUCAUUCAACCAAGUUCACCAGUAGUGGUUUUUUUGAAAGAUUAUUAUUGUCUGCUGCAACAUUUGUGGAAGAUGAAAAUUUCAUGGGAAGCCCGUGCUGAUUCCCGCAUAGCUUGCAUUCUUUUCUGUCUUCCAAGGGGUGGAUCUGAACUUGGGCAAGGUAACUAGGUAGUCAUUUGGUUAAAUCGAACGGUCUGCAAAAAUUCGUGUUCCAGCCUCAACAGUGAAAGCAACUAGCAGGUUAAUGUCACACUAUGGGGGUCUGUCAAAUAUUUUGCAACAAGGUAGAGCCGUAGAGAUUAUGGAUGUCCGGACAAAAAAUGGGUGGUUCAAAUUUAUGUGCACAGAUGGCAAGAGUAGAAAGGGUCUUAAGUAGGAGAACGGGAAGUUUCAGUGCAAUAGCAGUAAGAUCGACCAGUUAACAAGAUAAUGAAGACCUGCAUGAGAGCUUGGUCCGGCCAACAAUAUCUACAAACAGAUUAGAGGUGUGCAACAAUCAAGAUCAUAACCUACAGAGGGUGGGAGUACCACAUUUAAGUUGAAGACGUUCAACGCAACAUGAUCAGGUUGUAUGUAGUAUGGACCCAAAUGGACGUCAUUCACACAGCCAUUUGUAGAGAAAUAACAACACUUUGUUAUUCAGGCCGGAAGUCUAACCAGUUCUGGAAUAAAAUUUGUUCAUGCUUGCCUAAUAGAAGCAAUCGAUCAAACCUACCAUCAACAGGAGUUCCCCGAGCGCUUUCUAAAAGUAUUGAUUGGCCGUCCGUUCAACUCCCAUUACUUAACUCUACAACUACACGUAGCAAACCAAAAUGCAGAGGUCGAUGUAUUUUAUGAGCCACGUCCUUGCAAAAGGAGUGGUAGUUACUUUUAAAGGCAAGACAAGGCAGCAUCACUCUCCAUACCUUUAACUAUCGUGUCCAAGUUUUCAACACGGACGAGAUUGCUCUGCAUCUUGCUCUUACCGAUCAUUGCAGCCCCUAUAUACACUCCCACAACAAUAGCCGAACCUUACUAUGAGAAGCAUCUCGAGUACCAUACUCUGAACACGCAUAUGCUGGCUAUACCAAGGAGGUUCGUUUGCAGCCACCAACAUACCAAAAAGUCAUCCUACACUUAGGCCAUCUAGAGUUUCACGUGAAAGGGAGCGCCAAGUGAUGCACUGGACCAUCAUCCUUACUUCCAUGACUGCCAAAUACUACCUCGGGUCAGCUUUGCCUCUGAAGCUCCUUAUUAUUGAUGAUGAUGACGACAUACUGGCUUUGAAAGAAUCCAAUGUGCACUCAGGAGAUGAAUAAAGAAGAAGCUAUAGAACUGAAGGUUGUCAUAAAAUCCGAAAGGGAAGCAAAAUUUUGAGUCGAAAGUUUUGGCAUUCGAAAGGUGAUAGGCUGGUUGAGGGGUGAGAAAGGUGUCAAACCAUGUAACUUGGCACAUGGUGAAACGGGUAAGGUUAUGGAUCCCUUUUGUCCACUGGUACAUACUAAAAUAGGUUUGAUGUUAUUUUCAUUUGUCCACUUCUCGGAAUCAAAAUCUAACCCAAAUCACCCGUACACAAGUUUGAUGGAAUCCGAAACCUUCCACAGAAAAAAAGAGUUUAUUUACACAUAAACUUUCAUGUAGCUCAUGGUGAUCGUAAGGUUAUGCUUUUAAAUACUUAUUUAUUCUUUGACACCCACACACUCAUACAGUCAUACAGUCAUACUUGAUAUUUUUAUCAUCUUUCUUCAGGUAUACCAGAUUUCUCCAAAGUAUAAACUUUGAAACAGUCAUAUUUUUGAUGUGAAAUCUUAGUCAGCUUGUGAAAGCUUGAGUUUGAGCCAAUGUUUGUGAUAUCUUUUCAUGGGCCUGUAUCCACUUUUAAUAACUGGUGAUGAAGAAUCUGCAGAAGUUGACCAAGUUACAAGACCUAUGGUUAGGUCGCAAUCAUAUAAAGUCCAUCAACUAUUGUGGAUUAAAAUGUAUUAAGAAGCUCAGUUUGCAAAACAAUCUGCUAACUUCUAUGAAAGGCCUAGAGGUAGCUCUUUUGUUAUUUUAUAGUAAGGGGGUGGUUGGGAUGAAUGAAGUUUAAUCAGACCUUUUGGAAAAGCUUAUUACACAAAAGAUUGACCUCAGGUACCCAACCAUCUUCAUCCAUGUUUCUACUCUCACUAGGAGUGUACCGCCUUAGAAGAACUAUACUUGAGCAAAUGGUAUAGCGAAAAUGGAAGGCCUAUGGAGUGGUGAACCUGGGGGUUUUGGAUGUUUUCCUUAAAAGUGUUGUUUCUUUGUGUCUAUUUUGUUACUUAUUUAUCAUACACGAGUCACUAAUUUAUUUAUCUUGAAAAACAUAGGUUAGAUUUUAGCUCAUGAUAUGGUAACUUGGUUAAUAGUAGGAGGUGAGAAUAAAGUUGUUUGCCAUCUGUGUUUAGAUCAUAUUACAUGGUCAUCACUGUUUGUUUAUGUUCCAGCACUGCUCCAUAGUCUUACAGUGUGCACACGCAUUCUCUGUCAUGCACCAUCACCCUCUAUUACAUCCCUGUUAUGGAACUACCUUUGUCUAUGUUGAUUCAACAUCAGAUUCAGUAUUAUUUCAUGGUAAUGCCAAUUUGGUUAAAUAUAUACCUGAGGUCAAACAUGGAUGAAGAUGGUUGGGUACCUGUCUCUUAGAUUGCCUUCGUCGAGUAAGUAAAUUUUUUCGGUUUUUCAAUGGAGCAAAAGGGAACUCAUUACUUAAUUUAUGCUUGACUUUUUCUUUAGUUGUCCUUGCCUAAUAGUUUUGAAGCAAGGGGUAGAUCUUUUUCAGUUCAUGCUUUGCAUUCGUAAA